UGGAGUAUCUGUUUUCAGAGAUUCGGAUGCCAAACAGGAUUUUGGAUUACAUGGAAGGGAUUAGAGGAUGAGCCAAAAAGAUGAAUCGAUUGUAUCAGCAAUUCCCAAACUUGUGUUGAUAGUACACUGUUCUCUAGGUUUUAAUUGGGGGUGUUGUGCUGGGGUGUUACUUCGGGCCUUCUGCUCUCUGCAUCUGGGUGGUGGGGAUCCUGGCUGUGGGGCAGAGCUCCACCAUGACAGGAACCUAUUCCGGCCAGUUUGUCAUGGAGGGAUUCCUAAACCUAAAAUGGUCGUGCUUUGCCUAAGUGAGUCUGACCCACUCUAUUGCCAUCAUCCCCAUUGGGCUUGUGGCCAUCUUCCAAGAUGUGGAGCAUCUAACAGGGAUGAAUGACAUCCUGAAUGUUCUUCAGAGCUUACAGGUGAGGAGGGAGCUGGGGAAACUCACAUCCCAUUGAGUCAGGAGGCAUUCUGUAUUGCCCUUAGGUACCAAGCCUAGUGUGGGUGUGGGGAAAAUUCAGAGGAAGAAAGAGGCACAGUCUUGGUCUAUGGUGAAUGCAUAUGAAGUCUCUGGAAUCUAAAAGGCUUUUAGAAGUGGCUUGUUUUUUUCCUAAGCCUGUUGAAUGGGAAUUAUAAGCUGUAAUUACAUAUAGAACACAAAAUUAUUAUUCAUUAAUCCAAGCAAACAUUAAAUAAUGUAAAGGAGACUGAUGGGUAUUAUGGAGAUUAAGAAGACAAGGCAGAUAUAAAUUUUCUAGACAUUGUGAGCAUAAUUGAUGCUAGGUUCAUGCUACACAUUUCCACAUAACCCUCCAGCAUGUUGCGAUGACAGGAAUCAUUUCUCACAGAGUAGAUGAGGCAGGGUCUGUGGUUCCCUUUUGCUAAAGUGCUGCCCUCUGGGGUGUUACAGGACUCCCAGUAGCCCUAUGUGAUCUUAGUUUUUUCUUUUGCAGCUUCCUUUUGCUCUCAUAUCCAUCCUCACGUUUACGAGCUUGCAGCCGGUGAUGAGCAAAUUUGCCAAUGGAUUGUGAGUGCACUUCUUUUAGUUCCCAGAGAUGUGGGGGGAAAUGGUAUCUUCAUCAAACAGGCCAGUCAGAAAAUCCAUCUUAGGGGAACUAUAUGCUUGAAGAGGCGACUGCUAGAGCUGCCCCUUUAAUCUCUGACUUAGAAAACAGAGACUGCUGGGGGCUUCCCUCGUGGUCCAGUGGUUGAGACUCUGCCUUCCAGUGCAGGGGGUGCCGGUUCAAUCCCAGGUCAGGGGACUAAGGUCCCACAGGGACCAACAGGGUGUGACCAAAAAUUCAAAAUAAAUAAACACAACAUUGUAAAUCA
rnacentral:lncRNA from 1 species